CGGCGGCGUUUCCCGGGCCUACACCCGGUGGCUGCGUGGGAGUCGCCGGGGCGACCCCGGGCGGUGCCCGCCGGCCCCUUGGGGAGCGGCGGGCGCUGGAGGCUCUGCCCCGUGGCCCUGUCACCUCCGGCCCUCGCGCGUUCUCCCGCGCUCCCCGGGACGCGCCGCAGCCCGGCCGGGGCAGGCCUCGGCGGCGCCCCAGACUGGGAACGGCCUGUGGCCACCCGGGAGCGGUGCAGCGCCUGCCUGGCCGGCCGGCGGCGGAGGAAGGCAGCGCGGCCAGCCGCGGGUGGCUGAAACUGCGGGCGGUUAGAGCGGCCCGUCAGUCACGCCCGGGCCGGGCGAGGGGCCCCCGGGCAUUCUUCUGCCUGUGCUCCUGGGAGAAGCCCUGCGGCCGGCGCGGUGCCCUCUGCACCCUUCACUGCGUGGCUGAGGGGUUUCCCGCCCCUGAGCAACCUGGUUAUGGUGAUGCAAGUAGUAUUUAAGUGAGGUGAAACUUGGGGGUACGCAAGAGAAUCAGACUCCUGAAAGGGGUACAGUCGUCUGGAAAGGUUGAGAACCACUGGCCUGUUGAACUAUAACCGAUUGAAUUGAUUCUGGAAGGACUUUUGCAAAUCAGCAGCUCACCAUUUCUACUAUGAAACUGACUUUGCCCUGAUUGAGCCAUACUUUGCAGUAUCGGGUGCUAAUGCUACAGAUAAACGCCUGACGCCAGCCCCUCUUCUCACUGACAUCAACAGCAAACCACCUUGCCUUUUCUGGACAAAAACAGUGCCUCACAGCAAAACUCUUGGAAACUGGUGACAUCUGGGACAAAAAUCAGUGAUGGCCCUCAGUGACCAUGGCUUAGGCUGAGCAAACCCCCAGUAGGCAUUAAAGCUGCCUAGAAUUAGGGUGACCAGAUGUCUCGAUUUUAUAGGGACAGUCCCAAUUUUGGGGGCUUUUUCUUAUAUAGGCACCUAUUAUAUAUAUAUAUUAUAUCGGCAGCUAUUUUCUUAUAUAGGCACCCCCACCCCCGUCCUGAUUUUUUACAUUUGCUGUCUGGUCACCCUACCUAGAAUCCAUGUGGAAGAUGCUCAGUCUAACAAGAGAGAAGACUAACACAAUGUAAGAUUGCUGCAUCUCCAGGCCAGGGUGCCCCCUGUGGCAGCGUGCGGGUUCGGGACACACACCAGAUGAAGCUGUAGGUGGCUCACAAAUGAUAGUUCAACCUACCUGGUGCAGGUUCAGCAUGUUAACAGGCAGUCUAUAUCGUGAGCCUCCGAGGGUGAGGGCUGAGCACUUAAACCUUCAUGAGCUCCGGCCUCCUGGCUGGAGCAGCCAAUAAGAGUUGAUGGCUCAGACUUCCUAAGAUGAGGGCUGAACAAACAAACAGGUAGCAUUUCCAGCCACUGGCCUAAAAGUCAGAGCACACCCAGAUCUGCAUAUGGGGCUGGAGGUAGGUGGACCCGGGCCCACCCUGCUCCAGCCCGGGGCCCUAGAAGUGGUGUGUGACUCUGCCACAGGGUCAGCGGGAAAACAUGCAGUCUAGGGGGACCAUCUUUUUGAAAUGCAAAAAUAGGACACAUGCAGGAGCCCCGCCCCUUCUUGGCCCCAUCCUUGCUCCUCCUUUCCCUCUGAGGCCCUGGCCAGGCCAGAAGCCAGAGCUCGGCAGUGGUAAGAGCUGCCCAGGGAGCCAGGCCAUUGUGGGGAGCCUGGACCCUCCAUCUGUCCUGGGUGGGGCCUUGGUGGGGGGAGAGGAGCAGGAGGCAUGGCCUUGUGGCAAGGGGCGGGGGGGCUAAGGCCCACCUCAGCCCGCUCCCGCCCCCACCAAGAGGCUGGUGCUGCCCUUGAGCCUUGGGCAGGCAUGGAGCAGUGCCACAGGGAAUCCAGGACAAAUGUUGUCCCAGAGUCAUUCAGCCUGGGACUGGGACUUGAAAUGUACAUUCUGGGACUGUCCCGCCUAAUUAGGGAUGGAUGUUCACCCUAGUGUGGUUGCUACCUUGCAUCCUGGCAGUACCAUCGGACCCAAGUCUUGUUUCCCUCGCCUUCUUCCUACCAGCUCCAGCAGGUGCUGCUCCAUCCCUGCUGGGACCUGGCUCUCAGCCUCCUGGUCAGGCAGCCAUUCCACUUGUUUCUCUCCGGGGUUGUCCAGUUCCUGGGCCAGUGGGUCGCCUUUCCUCCCUGCUGCCGGUUGCGGGCUCAGCUGAGGGCUCAGGUACCUGGGAUGGAGGUCUGCCUCCUAAUCUGGUCCAGGCCAACUGAGUAGCAGGGCCUUGCCCUUAUACUGCCUUCCCUGCACUGCACUUCCUGUGAGGGAGUCGGGUGAGCUGAACCCCCCAAGGCAGGGUUAAUCCCUCUGUGCUGGAGGGAGGCCAUGCUGCUUCACUACACACAGGAAGACUUUUAGCAAUGCUGAGUUUGGUGAGUGCCCCCAUGUGAUGACCAGACUGAAGAGGGCAUAUCCCAGAAAUAACUAUACUCAGCCUGCCCUACGUUUAAUCCAUUCUAGGGCAUUUUCGCCUACAUGAUCAUUAAGGUAAUGUCAAAACUGACAAAUGAGGGAUUCAUUUACUUACUGCACCUGCCUAGCCAAAGUAGAACACUGAUAGCAAAGCCGAGCUACUGACAAAGAGAUCAGGUACCCGCGAUAAUACGUGUUCACUGCAGGAGCAAGAGCACAUACCAUUGUAUUAGCAGCACAAGAAUAACUGAGUUAGCCUCAAUGUGGGACAAUUGCAAAACACCCUACUUGGAACUACUCCAGGAGAAAAAAUAAUUCACAGAUAUAGUGACUCCCCUAGGCUGGAUGAACAGACAGCUGGGCUCACAGGCAGCCACUGCCUGAAAAUGGUAAUCACGCUCCCCCUGCCACUCAGACAUAUCCCUAGCUGUAAGAGGCAGACUGUAAACUACGCAUUCCACUGUUGCCAACUCUCCUGAUCUUAUUGUAAGUCUUGCAAUAGUUGAUGUUUUUC